AUGUGUGCUUCAACAACCGGCAUGACGCUCUUGGCCUCCUUGUGUAGAAGUGACUCAAAAGUUACCCCAACUUGCACUAGCAUAUUCCCCGAAAUUAUAGCUAUAGAGCUGUUUUCAGAACUUCAAUAUACAAGGAGAGAAACGAUCGGCUCGAAGUGCAUAUUUGGAUAUUACCAAUUGUGUGUUGUCGACGAAAAGAUCAAGGGUUCGACAGUGCAGGGCAGCCGACGUGGCCGACUGCAACACUCGACUGAAUGUGAAUGGCAGGACCAUAGAACAGCACGUAAAGCCAUCAGGGUCCUAGAGAACACAGUAGAAUCCAAUGAUAUCGAUGCCCCAUAUGUCUUGGCUCUUCCCUUGGAAGUGUGGCUUCGAAGAAAAGGCUUCCAAGCAGAACGGUCGCGGCUUAGCUCUAGCUCGCUCGUGGGAAAGAUGGUACCAUGA
rnacentral:rRNA from 1 species